AUUGAACGCUGGCGGCAUGCCUUACACAUGCAAGUCGAACGGCAGCGGGGGAGAAGCUUGCUUUUCCUGCCGGCGAGUGGCGAACGGGUGAGUAAUACAUCGGAACGUGCCCUGUAGUGGGGGAUAACUAGUCGAAAGAUUAGCUAAUACCGCAUACGACCUGAGGGUGAAAGUGGGGGACCGCAAGGCCUCAUGCUAUAGGAGUGGCCGGUGUCUGAUUAGCUAGUUGGUGGGGUAAAGGCCUACCAAGGCGACGAUCAGUAGCUGGUCUGAGAGGACGAUCAGCCACACUGGGACUGAGACGCGGCCCAGACUCCUACGGGAGGCAGCAGUGGGGAAUUUUGGACAAUGGGCGAAAGCCUGAUCCAGCAAUGCCGCGUGUGUGAAGAAGGCCUUCGGGUUGUAAAGCACUUUUGUCCGGAAAGAAAUGGCUCUGGUUAAUACCUGGGGUCGAUGACGGUACCGGAAGAAUAAGGACCGGCUAACUACGUGCCAGCAGCCGCCGUAA
rnacentral:rRNA from 1 species